UACAGAGGGUGCAAGCGUUGUCCGGAAUCAUUGGGCGUAAAGCGCGUGUAGGCGGCCCGGUAAGUCCGCUGUGAAAGUCGGGGGCUCAACCCUCGAAUGCCGGUGGAUACUGUCGGGCUAGAGUGCGGGAGAGGCGAGUGGAAUUCCUGGUGUAGCGGUGAAAUGCGCAGAUAUCAGGAGGAACACCAAUUGCGAAGGCAGCUCGCUGGAACGUAACUGACGCUGAGACGCGAAAGCGUGGGGAGCAAACAGG
rnacentral:rRNA from 1 species